UACGUAGGGGGCUAGCGUUGUCCGGCAUCAUUGGGCGUAACGAGCGUGUAGGCGGUCCGGUAAGUCCGCUGUGAAAGUCGGGGGCUCAACCCUCGAAUGCCGGUGGAUACUGUCGGGCUAGAGUGCGGAAGAGGCGAGUGGAAUUCCUGGUGUAGCGGUGAAAUGCGUAGAUAUCUGGAGGAACACCGGUGGCGAAGGCGGCAUCCUGGACCAACACUGACACUGAGGAGCGAAAGCCAGGGGAGCAAACGGG
rnacentral:rRNA from 1 species